CCUACGGGAGGCAGCAGUGAGGAAUAUUGGUCAAUGGCCGGAAGGCUGAACCAGCCAUGCCGCGUGAAGGUCAGUGCCCUAUGGGCGUUAAACUUCUUUUGUGCGGGAGCAAUAAUGGUCACGUGUGGCCAGACGAGAGUACCGUACGAAUAAGCAUCGGCUAACUCCGUGCCAGCAGCCGCGGUAAUACGGGGGAUGCAAGCGUUAUCCGGAUUUAUUGGGUUUAAAGGGUGCGUAGGCUGUGAGGUAAGGCAGCGGUGAAAUGCCCCCGCUCAACGGGGUGAAGUGCCAUUGAUACUGCCUGGCUGGAAUGCGGAUGCCGUGGGAGGAAUGUGUGGUGUAGCGGUGAAAUGCAUAGAUAUCACACAGAACACCGAUUGCGAAGGCAUCUCACGAAUCCGCGAUUGACGCUGAUGCACGAAAGCGUGGGUAUCAAACAGGAUUAGAUACCCUAGUAGUC
rnacentral:rRNA from 1 species